UCCUAAUGCAAGUAGCAUUCUUCUUGACUCUCGCUUUCGUUUUCUGGCAGAAGGUGGCCUUACCUGGGAAAGUGAAACCUAAACAGAUAUAACAGAAAUAAACUUGGUGAGCUUGUUUUUUUCAUUAUCUGGCAGGUAAGCAAUUUAUAUGUGCAAUAUUAUUUAAACAUAUAAAACUGGUUGUUUUGACCCUGGAUCCUAAUUGGCUGAAACCCUAUUUGACAGUGAUUAUAAAUCCGCAUACAGUGACAGUAAUCAAACAGCCUGUUUGUAAACAGUAUUACCCCAAGUACAACAAUUGCUUGCAAAUAAUAUUAUAAACUAAAUAAUAUGGUGUUACCAAUUAAUUGUUUCUAUAUGUUGUAACAGUUUUAUAAAAGCAUUACGGCACUCAUCCAGUCAUUGGACAUGAACUGUGUAUUUUCUUGUUGAUUGAGUUUUACUGACAAGCUUCUCAAAACCACUAGGACAUAAAGCUAAGGUACAGUAUGUGGCAGAUAGAUCACCUAUAGGCAGGGUUUAAAUUGUUGUUCACGGGGAGUGAUGUCCCCCUUGUUAACCUACAUUAAAAAGAUUAUACUUGUGUGUGUGUGUGUGUGUGUGUGUGUGAGAGAGAGAGAGAGAGAGAGGGAGAGAGAGAGAGAGAGUAUUCAGUGGUUUUUUGUUAUCUGUCAAAACAUCUUUGCAAGUGUAAAUUACAUUAAUUAUUUUCAUUCCAGUCUCUUCACAAGUAACUCAGACACAUUUGUCACUUGCUUUACAAAUAUAAUCAAGUACUCAAUCAAAAAGCCACUGACAGAGCCUACAUAUUACUGAUCACGAAGAAGACCUCGUGCCACCAUGAGUGAGUGAGUAAAGGAAAAUAAAAAAAUAAACUGUGCAUUGCAUGUUUGCUUUCUCCAUCAAUACAGUAUUCUGCACAUGUACCAAUUAUCUUAUUUUUCAUCUUUGCUCUGCAUAAUAUGACCUGAUGUAGAUAAGUUUAUAAGAAAAUGUAUUCCAUGCUUUCAUCAGACUAAUUAUUUCUAUUAAAAAAAAACAAUUUUGAGGAAGAAAAUAUUGUAAAUUGACUGGUGCAUUACAAAUACAGUACUAGUUAUUCUCGGUUGAUUGAUUGUUCAUUCCUGGAACCUAGUUUGUGAUUUUGCAAUCAGAUAUUAUUAUUUAGUAUCAAAAUUCAAUAUCAGACAAAGUUAACAAUAUAAUUGCUUUUUUUCAGACAGCAAUACAUUGUUAAAAAGUAUAACAUGGAAACAAUUCUCUCAAUGAAAUUUCCAUUGAUGAACGACCAGCUCCUGGAGCCAGUUCUGAGCACCAACCUGGACUAUGCAGCGAGAGUAAUACCCCACAUGCAUCAUGCUAUUUUAUCAGAGGCUUCACUCUGCAUCGCAGGGGAAAGAGUGCUUGUGAAAUUGGUCCAAUUCGAUAAGCAAUUUGGCAGCAAAAUCAAUUUAACGGUGAUCUGCAACGAUGGUCAGCCUCAGCUGAUACGGCGUGUGACCUGUGGCGAUGUAAUCACAGACUCAGACGUAAAAGAUACACACUUCUCAGGGCACAACUGCCAGGAUAUGGUUAAAUCAUGUUCUCAACAAGCGAGGGCGCUAGUGUCAGAAGGUAAUAGGAAAAUACUGCACAUAAUCUGCAACAGCCUGUCUCUCACAUACUCCACUGGUAACGAUGCCGAGGACGAUCAGAGUGUGGUUAGUCAGUCACCACAGACCACACAGCACAGUGCCAUUGACAGUCACAUUCUAAAAACUCAAUGCAGGCUCAUUUUUCCAGAUUGCAGGGACAUAGAACGGCUGUUGAAAAUGAAAUGUUGGAUUGAACAAGAAAAGCCACAGAAAAGGGGUCUUAUUGCCUGUGUCGAUCACGUCCUAAUGCAGUUCAUUAAAUUUCCCAGAGGAUACUACAGUGGAGGUACCUUCAUUCUACAGAGUGAUGGGGAAAUGGUUACGUUGAUUGAUACUAACGAGUGGUCCGAAGAAUAUUAUAUUUUUUGUGGCCCAAAUGGUGUGUUCAUGUUCCCUACUGAAUGGAAGAAAUGAUCAGGUAAUGAAAAAAUAUUACCAAAGGAUUGAUUUAGAUUUGCCAAAAAAGGAAAAGAAAAAUUAUUUUUACUAUUUGCUGAUGACAGUUUAAACACCAAGAGCAAUGAUGCAUGUUAUUCUCUGCUAUAAAGAAUUAAGCGCUUUAAGUGCUGACUUUCUUCAGAUUAUGUAAUUAGGAAAAGAAAUGGCCACUGAAGUAUUACUCUGCAAGUACUUAUCCUCUGUCAGAUGAGCAAGUUAGCGUGUUGAUACAGUAUUCAAAUUUGGAAGAACUAAUAUUGAAUACAAUGUAUGCAACCUUUUCCCAAACCUCUCACUCCCACUGUUCAUAGCAACUGCAACAAUUUAAGGGGAUUGUAUUAUAAUGGAAAAUUGUGAACUAGGUUUGCUCGGCCCAAUAGUAUUGUAAAGAAAAAAAUAAGAAUAAGAUAAUGAUAUAAUAAAAGUAAAUGAUUUAAAACUUAUGAAAAUGAAAUUUUCGGAUAUAUUACUCCCACAAUAAAUGUAAGUGACAAUUUAUCCAUUAAACUAGUUGGAGCAAUGCGUUCCCCUUUAAUAUUACAUGGCAUUUAUUUACAAAUGUAUUUUAAUUUAAGUUGCAUGUUAUUGACUAUAACAUUAGGAAUAGUGAAAAGACUUGAUUACUUUUCAUGUUAUUUAAAAGUUUCAUUUGAAUAAAAAAAUGUUCUGGUAAUGUUCCUGAUAGGUGCUGAUUAUACUGUACUUAUACUAUGCUUCACAACUGUGUGUGUGUGUGUGUGUGUAAACAGUAUAAUCAGUGCUUAACAAAAUAAUGUUUUCAAGUCUCUUCAGUUCACAAGUCAUACAGAUCGAUAAUUUGUAGGAUUAGGGAGUUCGCUAUACUAUUAGAAUGACUUUAAUCAUUAACAGAUGCAAAAAAUAAUUUACAAAUAUGCCUACACAAUGUGAGUUUGGCAAC